rnacentral:rRNA from 1 species
GCGAGUGAACUGGGAAGAGCUCAAAUUUUAAAUCUCCUAGGUUACCUAGGCGAGUUGUAAUUUGAAGAAAGUGUUUUGAUGCUCUGGUUUUAUUUAAAUCCUUUGGGAUAAGGUAUCAUAGAGGGUGAGAAUCCCGUUCAUGAUUAAACCUGGGUGUCACCUAAUUCACUUUCUAAGAGUCGAGUUGUUUGGGAUUGCAGCUCAAAAUGGGUGGUAAAUUUCACCUAAGGCUAAAUAUGUGCAAGAGACCGAUAGCGAACAAGUACCGUGAGGGAAAGAUGAAAGGAACUUUGAAAAGAGAGUUAAAUAGUACGUGAAAUUGUUGAAAGGGAAACGAUUGAAGUCAGUCAUGCUUGCAGGGAAUCAGCAUGGUGGUUUUCUUCCUUGUGCACUUCCUUGCUUGGCAGGUUAGCAUCAAUUUUGAUUGUCAUUAAAGAACCGGGGGAAUGUGGCUUCUUCGGGAGUGUUAUAGACCUUGGUAGAUGUGGCGAUUGGGAUUGAGGAUUGCAGCGAAUGCUUCUUGGCUAGUCACCUGGCUUCUGAUGGUCACCUUGCUUUCGAUAGCUUGCUAACGUUGGUGAGAUUUGAUUGUCUAGAUGUUAGUGUGAUCAUAAAUUCGCUAAGGAUGC